GGAAUAUUGGUCAAUGGACGAUAGUCUGAACCAGCCAAGUCGCGUGCGGGAUGAAGGCCCUCCGGGUCGUAAACCGCUUUAGCCGGGGAGUAACGUGCGGCACGUGUUCCGCAGUGAGCGUACCCGGAGAAUAAGCAUCGGCUAACUCCGUGCCAGCAGCCGCGGUAAUACGGAGGAUGCGAGCGUUAUCCGGAUUUAUUGGGUUUAAAGGGUGCGCAGGCGGCAGUUCAAGUCAGCGGUCAAAAUUCGGGGCUCAACCCCGUCUCGCCGUUGAAACUGUGCUGCUCGAGUUCGUGCGAGGAUGGCGGAAUGCGCGGUGUAGCGGUGAAAUGCAUAGAUAUCGCGCAGAACCCCGAUUGCGAAGGCAGCUGUCCAGCACGCGACUUACGCUCAUGCACGAAAGCGUGGGUAUCGAACA
rnacentral:rRNA from 1 species